UUGCUCCCCUGAGAUCAGCGGCGGACGGGUGAGUAACACGUGGGCAACCUGCCUGUAAGACUGGGAUAACUCCGGGAAACCGGGGCUAAUACCGGAUAACAUUUUCCAUUGCAUAGUGGAAAAUUAAAAGAUGGCUCCGGCUAUCACUUACAGAUGGGCCCGCGGCGCAUUAGCUAGUUGGUGAGGUAAGGGCUCACCAAGGCGACGAUGCGUAGCCGACCUGAGAGGGUGAUCGGCCACACUGGGACUGAGACACGGCCCAGACUCCUACGGGAGGCAGCAGUAGGGAAUCUUCGGCAAUGGGCGAAAGCCUGACCGAGCAACGCCGCGUGAGCGAUGAAGGCCUUCGGGUCGUAAAGCUCUGUUGUUAGGGAAGAACAAGUACCGUUCGAAUAGGGCGGUACCUUGACGGUACCUAACCAGAAAGCCACGGCUAACUACGUGCCAGCAGCCGCGGUAAUACGUAGGUGGCAAGCGUUGUCCGGAAUUAUUGGGCGUAAAGCGCGCGCAGGCGGUCUCUUAAGUCUGAUGUGAAAGCCCACGGCUCAACCGUGGAGGGUCAUUGGAAACUGGGGGACUUGAGUACUGGAGAGGAGAGUGGAAUUCCAUGUGUAGCGGUGAAAUGCGUAGAUAUAUGGAGGAACACCAGUGGCGAAGGCGGCUCUCUGGCCAGUAACUGACGCUGAGGCGCGAAAGCGUGGGGAGCAAACAGGAUUAGAUACCCUGGUAGUCCACGCCGUAAACGAUGAGUGCUAGGUGUUUUGGGGGGUUCCACCCUCCAGUGCUGACGUUAACACAUUAAGCACUCCGCCUGGGGGAGUACGGCCGCAAGGCUGAAACUCAAAGGAAUUGACGGGGGCCCGCACAAGCAGUGGAGCAUGUGGUUUAAUUCGAAGCAACG
rnacentral:rRNA from 1 species